CAGCCGCCGCGGGAAUACGUAGGGUGCAAGCGUUAAUCGGAAUUACUGGGCGUAAAGCGUGCGCAGGCGGUUAUAUAAGACAGAUGUGAAAUCCCCGGGCUCAACCUGGGAACUGCAUUUGUGACUGUAUAGCUAGAGUACGGCAGAGGGGGAUGGAAUUCCGCGUGUAGCAGUGAAAUGCGUAGAUAUGCGGAGGAACACCGAUGGCGAAGGCAAUCCCCUGGGCCUGUACUGACGCUCAUGCACGAAAGCGUGGGGAGCAAACAGGAUUAGAUACCCGAGUAGUCCCUGUCUCUUAUAC
rnacentral:rRNA from 1 species